GACGAACGCUGGCGGCGUGCUUAACACAUGCAAGUCGAACGGAAAGGCCCUGCUUUUGUGGGGUGCUCGAGUGGCGAACGGGUGAGUAACACGUGAGUAACCUGCCCUUGACUUUGGGAUAACUUCAGGAAACUGGGGCUAAUACCGGAUAGGAGCUCCUGCUGCAUGGUGGGGGUUGGAAAGUUUCGGCGGUUGGGGAUGGACUCGCGGCUUAUCAGCUUGUUGGUGGGGUAGUGGCUUACCAAGGCUUUGACGGGUAGCCGGCCUGAGAGGGUGACCGGCCACAUGGGGACUGGGAUACGGCCCAGACCCCUACGGGGGGCAGCGGUGGGGAAUAUUGCAAAAGGGGGGGAAGCCUGAGGCAGCAACGCCGGGGGGGGGAUGACGGCCUUGGGGUUGUAAACCGCUUUCGCCUGUGACGAAGCGUGGGUGACGGUAAUGGGUAAAAAAGCACCGGCUAACUACGU
rnacentral:rRNA from 1 species